UACGGAGGGGGCUAGCGUUGUUCGGAAUUACUGGGCGUAAAGCGCACGUAGGCGGCUUUGCAAGUCAGAGGUGAAAGCCCGGGGCUCAACCCCGGAAUUGCCUUUGAGACUGCAUCGCUAGAAUUGUGGAGAGGUAAGUGGAAUUCCGAGUGUAGAGGUGAAAUUCGUAGAUAUUCGGAAGAACACCAGUGGCGAAGGCGACUUACUGGACACAUAUUGACGCUGAGGUGCGAAAGCGUGGGGAGCAAACAGA
rnacentral:rRNA from 1 species